GUUUACUAUGUCAGGGUGGGGGGUGGUGAGGGGGAGAGGAGCAACUUGAGCCUGAACACCUGUCCUUAAUUUCCCUGCUGUCACCAUCAAGGCAUAGUAAACAGAGAAUAAGGUGUCUGAAGACAGCCUAUGUUCCUCUGAGGUUCUGCAGGCAUCUGGGAUGCUUUCCUGUCGCUCAGGUCCAUGACAGGCACCAGUGCAGUGACUGGCACUCUUUCCUCAUCCACAUUGAGCAGAGCAUCCUCCAAAUUCAGGCCUUUUGUACACAUCCAACUCACACCCUUUCUCCAUCACUCUCUUGUCUCCGCUCCCAACCCCUCAAAGCAGCAGAACAAAUGAAUCAUAGAGUUCUUUUAAUGGAAUCCGGCUCUGAAGGAGAAUGUCUGAGUGGAACCAAAGAGAGGAUUCUGAGUCCCCAUUCACCAUCAAGAGAUCAAACAGCAGGUGGAUCACAGAGACACAAGGUGGAGGGCAGGCCGUGAAGAGCCCGGCAAUGGCCAGCACAGUGAUUUCUGACCUAAGCCCUGUGAGACUGCAAGUGGCACAGUCUCCAUUCCCAGUUCCUGAGGAGUUUCCUGCAAUGACUUUGGCUAAAGCCACAGGGAUCCUUGCCUCAGCCAGGAAUUACUAAGCCCGAUUAUCUCCAAGGCACCUGCCAGCUUGGACAUUCUAUGAAACGAGCAAAAUUAGGAAAAAUGUGAAGCAUGUUAAGGUAUCCAUCAUAAGCUGAUGUGCAUCACAUACUGGUUUCUGUUUGUACAGCAAAGACACGGGAACAUUUUAGGCAGCACUGACCUAGCACAGGGCAGGUCCUAGGUCUGUAGCUAUUGGUCCAUAAAGUGAGUCUGGGUAGGGGAGGCAGAAGGAAGGAGCAGUGGGGAGCCCUUGGUGAUAGCCUGGAGCCUAAGGUCUAGGGAUAGCUCAGUCAGUGACUGGGUAGUGGCAUUCAUCUAUCACCUAUUCAUUUGUUCAUUUAUUUGGGGGGCAUUUAUGUGAUCUGACUGAGUUAGACAUUUGAGAUAAGAUGUGUAGGACAGAGUUUACUAGACUAUGUUUUUCCUGAGAGCCAGAGUCUUGCCCUAUUUCUCCAGUGCCUGAACAUGACCCUUUCUUGAGGAGCGAGUACACUAGUGGGUCUUUAGAAAAAUAAUUUCCUUUCCUGGAACUCAGUGUUCUCACUUAUAAAAUGGUUUGAGGGGCCGGGGAUGGGACUUAAUGAUGUCCAAGAUCCCUUCUCACUUGAUUGUUUUGUUCUGCUGUUACAUUUAUUUGGUGUCCUGUAGUGAAGAAGGUUUGCACACAAAGAUGGAGCAAAAAGUCACAGAACAAUCUGCAGCAGAGGUAAACUGCAAGCACCAAGCCUCCUACAGGAGUGCGUGAGGCCAGUAAAUCGCACUGAUCCAGGCUGGGAGCAAGAUGCUGUGUCUGAACACCCUCGGGCCAGAGAAGCAGAAGCUCUGAGUUCCUGUCACUACCCCCCCACCCCGCCCCCUGCUUUUACCUGUCACCCCAACUCUCCGGGGAUAGCAGCAUCUACCUCACAUAUUACUGUGAUGAUUAAAUGUGAAAACACAUAUGAAAGGUC
rnacentral:lncRNA from 1 species